rnacentral:rRNA from 1 species
GAUCCUGGCUCAGGAUGAACGCUAGCUACAGGCUUAACACAUGCAAGUCGAGGGGCAGCGGGAUUGAAGCUUGCUUCAAUUGCCGGCGACCGGCGCACGGGUGAGUAACGCGUAUCCAACCUUCAGUACACUCGAGGGAUAGUCCUUUACGAAAAGAAAGAUUAACUACCUGAUGGUAUGAUGAGAUUGCAUGAUAUCAUCUAAUUAAAGUAUUUAUCGGUGUACGAGUGGGGA